rnacentral:rRNA from 1 species
UACGAAGGGCCCAAGCGUUGCGCGGAAUCACUGGGCUUAAAGCGUACGUAGGCGGGCAAGCAGGCGCCUUGUGAAAUCCCUCGGCUCAACCGAGGAAUUGCUUGGUGAACCGCUUGUCUUGAGGCAAGUAGGGGCUGUCGGAACGAUAGGUGGAGCGGUGAAAUGCGUUGAUAUCUAUCGGAACGCCAAAGGCGAAGGCAGGCAGCUGGGCUUGUUCUGACGCUCAGGUACGAAAGCGUGGGGAGCGAACGGG